AUUCCACUUUCAACAACCGAWCCCUUGGGUCUC
rnacentral:rRNA from 1 species